UACGUAGGGCGCAAGCGUUGUCCGGAAUUAUUGGGCGUAAAGAGCUCGUAGGCGGCCUGUUGCGUCUGCUGUGAAAUCCCGGGGCUCAACCCCGGGCGUGCAGUGGAUACGGGCUGGCUAGAGGCAGGCAGGGGAGAACGGAAUUCCCGGUGUAGCGGUGAAAUGCGCAGAUAUCGGGAGGAACACCGGUGGCGAAGGCGGGUCUCUGGGCCGAUACUGACGCUGAGGAGCGAAAGCGUGGGGAGCGAACAGG
rnacentral:rRNA from 1 species